rnacentral:lncRNA from 1 species
AUGAAGACACUGAGGCCCAUUCAGGGCAAGUGGCAGGUCCCUGUUCUCAGAAUUAGGGCCGAGCAGGUAUUAAAACUCUGUGUUCGUAUUCACUGUGUGCCCAGGGAGAUGAAAAUGCCCUGGUGUGAGAGGAAGCCUCCAGGGAGAAUAUGGGCACAGAAAUGGACCAGGAUGGAGUAUAGCUCCCACACCUUUUCCCUGAAUGGCAGCACUCACAAGACUGACAUGCCCACCCCUCUAGGUGGGUGGUUUUUCUCCCCAGGCAGCCCUGCCAACCCUUUCACUUGUGGCCUUCUGGCAUGGUGCCAGGGAGAGCAAGCCUCGUCCAGCCCUUAUCAAACUAACUGGCUGCUUCCUAGUAGGGAACAGCCACCAGCUUGUUUCAGAGAAGAAUCAUUGCUCAGCUGACUCUCAGAGGAGAAAACUGGUUCUGUUGGGAAGGCUUAGACCUUCAUCCAGUGGAAUGGGAAAGGCAAAGGAUUUCAGUACUAACAUGACUUUUUCUCCACUUCUUUUAGAGUGUUUAAAGUCAUGCAUUGUUAAUGGCUUCUCAUCUCUUCUUCCAGAGAGUUGAGUUAAAUUUUAGAAUCCGGGAGUGAGGACCCAGACUCUGGCUUCUGUUAGCUCCCUCAGUGGCAGUGGCCCCCUGAUAUGUGCAGCCCCUUUGCUUGACUCCAGAUGGUCCCGUACGGGUUGCAGGAGAGAUAUUAAGUAAUCAUACUGACGACCAAGUGAGAUAAGUGGCUUCAAGAACUUGAGGCUGGUGAGGACGACUUAAUCUUCUAGCAAGCUGGGCUAGACUUGGGGAAGCUUUCCUGAGCUGAGGGGAGGUUGACUGGGGUUCCCUGGAGUGGCGGUGGGUAGGGGCGGGGCCGAGGGGUGUUAGCUAUGGGAGGGUGAGAAGGAGUAUUCCAGAAGAGUUAACAGCUUAAGCAGGACCUCUGGAUUGUGGAAGGUGGUUUCUGCAUCACCACGGGACACCUGUGUGAGGGCUCAUAGGGAGGGGUUCGCGGAUGCUGGCAACUAGAAGCUGAUAAGGAAAAGUGUGGCCAAAAUGAAAAGCAGAAAAGAGAAUCUCAUCAAAUCCCCUCAUUUUAUGGGAUUUGGACUCCUAGUAAUAACUGUCCUUAAACACUCACCCUGAUCUUACAGCCCUCGCUGUUUCCUGGUUAACAGGGCCCAGGUGUUGGCUACAGGUGUCAUCACUGAGAGCCCUUGUGUGCAGA